rnacentral:tRNA from 1 species
GAGGUUGUGGCUCAGUGAUAGAGCACUUGCCUGGCAUGUGUGAGGCCCUGGGUUCGAUCCUCAGCAUCACCA